GUAAGGAAGACAGACCCAGGGAACUGAAACAUCUAAGUACCUGGAGGAAGAGAAAGCAAAUGCGAUUUCCUGAGUAGCGGCGAGCGAAACGGAACAUAGCCCAAACCAAGAGGCUUGCCUCUUGGGGUUGUAGGACAUUCUAUACGGAGUUACAAAGGAACGAGGUAGACGAAGCGACCUGGAAAGGUCCGUCGUAGAGGGUAACAACCCCGUAGUCGAAACUUCGUUCUCUCUUGAAUGUAUCCUGAGUACGGCGGAACACGUGAAAUUCCGUCGGAAUCUGGGAGGACCAUCUCCCAAGGCUAAAUACUCCCUAGUGAUCGAUAGUGAACCAGUACCGUGAGGGAAAGGUGAAAAGCACCCCGGAAGGGGAGUGAAAGAGAUCCUGAAACCGUGUGCCUACAAAUAGUCAGAGCCCGUUAACGGGUGAUGGCGUGCCUUUUGUAGAAUGAACCGGCGAGUUACGAUCCCGUGCGAGGUUAAGCUGAAGAGGCGGAGCCGCAGCGAAAGCGAGUCUGAAUAGGGCGUUUAGUACGUGGUCGUAGACCCGAAACCAGGUGAUCUACCCAUGUCCAGGGUGAAGUUCAGGUAACACUGAAUGGAGGCCCGAACCCACGCACGUUGAAAAGUGCGGGGAUGAGGUGUGGGUAGCGGAGAAAUUCCAAUCGAACCUGGAGAUAGCUGGUUCUCCCCGAAAUAGCUUUAGGGCUAGCCUUAAGUGUAAGAGUCUUGGAGGUAGAGCACUGAUUGGACUAGGGGUCCUCAUCGGAUUACCGAAUUCAGUCAAACUCCGAAUGCCAAUGACUUAUCCUUAGGAGUCAGACUGCGAGUGAUAAGAUCCGUAGUCAAAAGGGAAACAGCCCAGACCGCCAGCUAAGGUCCCAAAGUGUGUAUUAAGUGGAAAAGGAUGUGGAGUUGCUUAGACAACUAGGAUGUUGGCUUAGAAGCAGCCACCAUUUAAAGAGUGCGUAAUAGCUCACUAGUCGAGUGACUCUGCGCCGAAAAUGUACCGGGGCUAAAUACACCACCGAAGCUGCGGAUUGAUACCAAUGGUAUCAGUGGUAGGGGAGCGUU
rnacentral:rRNA from 1 species